UACUUAAAGGAGGGUGAUAAGAAAUACGUGUGGCAUAGGCUGGGGAGGAAAAGAGAGCUAAGCGAUCAUUUUCUAAAGUGGAAAAUUCAGCGAUAAUACCUAAAACUAAACACUCCACAGGCAGCAAUUUAAGUGUAGUAUUAGAGAUAUGGAAGAAAAUACCCCCAACAUUAGCUAAAAAGGAGAAAAACAGUUGCUUUUAUAAAGAGGAAUUUAUAAGGAGGUGGGUAAGAACAUUUUUUUAAAUGAGGUUUUAAAUUUUUUUUUUUUUUGAGACAGAGUCUCGCUCUGUUGCCCAGGCUGGAGUGCAGUGGUGCGAUCUCAGCUCACUGCAAGCUCCGCCUCCCGGGUUCACGCCAUUCUCCUGCCUCAGCCUCCCGAGUAGCUGGGACUACAGGUGCCCGCCACCAUGCCUGGCUAAUUUUUUGUAUUUUUAGUAGAGAUGGGGUUUCACCGUGUUAUCCAGGAUGGUCUUGAUCUCUUGACCUCGUGAUCCACCCGCCUCGGCCUCCCAAAGUGCUGGGAUUACAGGCGUGAGCCACCACACCCGGCAAAAAAUUUUUAAUUUUUAUUGUUUUAAUAAAAGAGACGGGUCUUGCCAUAUUGCCUAGGGUGGUCUCAAACUCCUGGGCUCAAGUGAUCCUCCUGCCUUGGCUUCCCAAAGUGUUGGGAUUACAGGUGUGAGCCAACAUCCCCAGCUCACCAAAGUUGACCAUAAUAAUA
rnacentral:misc_RNA from 1 species